ensembl:lncRNA
CUGAGAAACAGAGAAAAUAUUGUUGAAGUGCAAACACUGUUCAGUAUUAGCUAAAAUGUAAAGACAGGGAAAGUUCAAAGAGAUAAAGAAAGAAAAUUUGCACCUGAGUUUCAGAAUAAUUAUAUUUCUGCAAGCUUUAUGAUUAGCUUUUUCUUGGUACUGCAAAAAAAAAAAAAAAAAGAGAGAGAAAAAUAAGAAAAGAAAAAAAAAGAAAAGAAAAGAAAAGAAAAGAAAAGAAAAGAAAAGAAGAGAAGAGAAGAGAAGAGAAGAGAAGAGAAGAGAAGAGAAGAGAAGAGAAGAGAAGAUAAAAGGUUAAUUUCGAAUGUGUACUCCUUUCAUUCUAAGUCAACAACAACAACAAAAUCUAUUUGAAAGGGCUAUUAAGAGGUCAUGGAGGCAAUAUUCUGCUGAAAGAGAAUUAACAGCAGUGGAACCAUAAAGCUGCUGCUCCUCCAGAGGAAGACAAGACUUUGAAAAUCACCUUGAAACUCAAUAAUAAAGAAAGGAGAGUAGGUAUACAUACAUCAAAGAACCUCCUCUCCCUGUGAUAAAUUGGAGUGAGACACUAUGGAAGAUAAAGAGGUAGAAAAUAAUGUCACAUUCAGAGGCUGACCCAAAUACAAAAAUUAACCUGAGAGGUUUGAAGGUUUCUCAAGUCCCAUACUUAAUUGUGCACAGAAAGGUGCCUCAAUGAAAUAGAAUCUAGAUAUCAAGAAGCUACAGUAUUCUGAGAAAUAAAAAGUGAUACUUUGUCCUUUGGUGAUGGUGGUAUGGCAGACAAGUGAAUGACAUUUUCUUUACCAUGGGCUACUAGAGACAGAAGAAAGGAUCUCUGCCCACCACUCUUCUGAGAAGCCACCCAAAUUAACUUAAUUCUGGUCAUUCAUGGUCAUUCAAGAGAAUAACUCCUAUCUCAUCUUAUCCCUCUGUGCUGCUUAAUAACAAAGGAUUAUGGAAUAAAUCCUGGAAUUCUGGCAUUUAACCCAAAAGACAUAAUAUGCUUAUUAUCUUACAGAAAGAUUUUUUUGUUUUUGUUUUUGUUUUGAGAACUGGCUGGAGUGGUCCAAAAUCAAAAAAUGAGGGUAACAGGUAGAACUGAGUAUCAGUGAUUCAAUACUCAGUCUACUUCAUCCUUUUUAUUUAAGAGUAUGUAUGCAUUCAGUAUUGUUCCUGAAGCUAUGAGAGAAAGAAAAAAAAUUAAUGAAAACUGUCUUCAUGAUUCAGUUUUUGACUUUUCCUGUAAAAUUUAUCUUCUCCAUCUACAUUUCAAAAAGGGGUUUAGAUAUGAUGACACACAGAGCUACAGUAUUUAAAUCUAGGGGCUGAUUUUCAAGAGCAGUAUUCACUAUGCAGUGUUUCUAACGUCUGAGAUAAUUAUAUUUUUUGGAAGAAGAGCACACAUGAAUGACACAAAAUCCAUCAUGUUCACAGAUGUCAAUUAGUCAAUAGAAAAAAAGACAAAAUGAAAAUGUAACUUCCACUUUUUCAGGUAUAUGGAAUUUUUUAACCCUUGUAAGAGGCAGAAUCCUUUUUGAUGUUAGUAAGAAUCCAGUUUCAUGAAUAUUUAUCUUAAGAAAAAUAUAAAACAAAGCAUUUGGGGUGUGGAAAGCUUUCAAAGUGUGAUCUUAUUCAUAAGACACAUAUCUAUGUUGAUUUUCAGAGAUUCUGAGCUGCUUCUAAUGAGUUUAAUGAUAUCUGUUGCUUCUGCAAUGAACAUGGGAGGUGUGAGUACAUACCUGUCUGUGGGUGAAGGAGAAAAGGGUUAAGUCAUCAUUCAUUCCUUGGAAUAAAGGAAGUCAUUUUAAAAUUUUCUGACAAGCCAAAAGUUGAAUGAUAGGCCUGAACCUGCCUAUUGAAAUGAAGAGUUCAACAGAAAUGCAGUCUUUCAUCAUCAUGAAAGAAAAAGAGGUUAUGAAAAAUUAUUUAUUGCUGCUAUGUUAUAGAAUCAUAGAUUCAUAGAAUAGCUUGGGUUGGAAGGGACCUUAAAGAGUAUUUAGUUGCAAGCACCCUGCUGUGGGCAGGUUUCCCAACAGGUGGUCCACAAUCCCAUCCAGCCUGACUUUGAACACCUCCAGGGAUGGGGCAUCCACAGCCUCUCUGGACAGUCUGUUCCAGUGGCUCACCGCCCUCUGAGUAAAAAAAAUCUCUUCCUAACAUCCAAUCAAAAUUUUCCCUCUUUAGUUUAAAACCAUUCCUCUUUGUCCUACCACUAUCUGACCAUGCAAAAAGUCAGCCAUGUUUCUUUGAUUCUGGGAAUUUAUGCAUUAUAUGUUAUAUGACAUUAAUUAUCAGUUUUGGAAGCCUGUCUUAAUGUUUGAAACAAAAAGAAAAUCUACUCACCUAGCCUCUGUAUUUCCCAAACUAAGGAAUACAUUAGAAAAGACACAAGAUUCUGUGAAAAACAGGAUGCAGAUGGGCAUCCCUGCUUCCUCUUAUCUGCUGGCAAGGCCCGGAAGAUGAUAACAAAGGAAUUUCUGCUGAGAUCCCAGAGGCAGUAGCUGCCACUCCAAGGAGAGCUGACUCAACCACUUUGGAUUCGAGCUGUCACUCAAAAGAGAGCUGACUCGACCACUUUGGACUUAUAAAUAAGUUUGUACUGCCAUCGUUGUCGUCAUCGCUGUGGUCACCAUUGUCAACAGAACACCAGAUGACCCACCACUACUGAAGAUCAAUGACUGAACUACGAACCACGUUGGACCAUGGUGGUGACUAUCUCCCUCCUGCUUCCUAUACGGACUCCUUGCUCCUAUUUCCUAUCUUUUCUAUCGCCCUUCUCCCCUUCCCCAUCUCCCUGAACGACUAGGAUUUGUAAUACACUGGUCAGACCAACAUUUGAACCGUUGUUUGUUAAUCUCAUGCCAGGUAUACACACAUCAAAGAACCUCAUCUCCCUCCGAUAAAUUGGAGAGAGACAAUCAUUUUAUGCUUUUACAGUAUCACAUUAAAAUAAAACAAAAGAAAACUUAUACUGUAUGGAAUGCUGAGGAUAGUCACAAAUAGUCUAUUUGUACUGGCUAGAAAUAAUAAAUACAGUAUUUCU